GGCGCUAUCGUCUAGGGGACUAGGACGGGGCCCUCUCAAGGCCCAAACACGGGUUCGAAUCCCGUUAGCGCUAUCA
rnacentral:tRNA from 1 species